AUACGUAGGGAGCGAGCGUUGUCCGGAAUUACUGGGGGUAAAGGGUGCGUAGGCGGGACGGCAAGUCAGCUGUGAAAUCCCGGGGCUCAACCCCGGGGCUGCAUUUGAAACUGUCGUUCUUGAGUGAGGACGAGGGCAGCGGAAUUCCUAGUGUAGCGGUGAAAUGCGUAGAUAUUAGGCGGAACAUCGGUGGCGAAGGCGGCUUACUGGGCCUUUACUGACGCUGAGGCACGAAAGCGGGGGGAGCAAACAGGAUUAGAUACCCUGGUAGUCCACGCUGUAAACGAUGAUGACUAGGUGUGGGGGGACUGAACCCUUCCGUGCCGCAGUUAACACAAUAAGUCAUCCACCUGGGGAGUACGGCCGCAAGGUUGAAACUCAAAGGAAUUGACGGGG
rnacentral:rRNA from 1 species